rnacentral:rRNA from 1 species
UACGUAGGGCGCAAGCGUUGUCCGGAAUCAUUGGGCGUAAAGAGCUCGUAGGUGGUCUGUUACGUCUGCUGUGAAAUCCUAGGGCUUAACCCUGGGCCUGCAGUGGAUACGGGCAGACUAGAGGUAGGUAGGGGGAGAAUGGAAUUCCCGGUGUAGCGGUGAAAUGCGCAGAUAUCGGGAGGAACACCGGUGGCGAAGGCGGUUCUCUGGGCCUUACCCUGACACUGAGGAGCGAAAGCGUGGGGAGCGAACAGG